rnacentral:rRNA from 1 species
CCGAGCGCCCCUCGAACACGACCCCAGGUCAGGCGGGGCCACCCGC